GACGAACGCUGGCGGCGUGCCUAAUACAUGCAAGUCGAGCGAAGUUUUUCUGGUGCUUGCCCUAGAAAAACUUAGCGGCGAACGGGUGAGUAACACGUAAAGAACCUGCCUCAUAGACUGGGACAACUAUUGGAAACGAUAGCUAAUACCGGAUAACAGUAUUUCUCGCAUGAGAGAUAUUUAAAAGUUGGUUAUGCUAACACUAUGAGAUGGCUUUGCGGUGCAUUAGCUAGUUGGUGGGGUAAAGGCCCACCAAGGCGACGAUGCAUAGCCGACCUGAGAGGGUGAUCGGCCACACUGGGACUGAGACACGGCCCAGACUCCUACGGGAGGCAGCAGUAGGGAAUCUUCCGCAAUGGGCGAAAGCAUGACGGAGCAACGCCGCGUGAGUGAAGAAGGAUUUCGGUUCGUAAAGCUCUGUUGUUAGGGAAGAAUGGAUAUGUAGUAACUAUACAUGUAAGAGACGGUACCUAACCAGAAAGCCACGGCUAACUACGUG
rnacentral:rRNA from 1 species